rnacentral:rRNA from 1 species
GACGAACGCUGGCGGCGUGCUUAACACAUGCAAGUCGAACGGAAAGGCCCUGCUUUUGUGGGGUGCUCGAGUGGCGAAAGGGUGAGUAACACGUGAGUAACCUGCCCUUGACUUUGGGAUAACUUCAGGAAACUGGGGCUAAUACCGGAUAGGGGCUCCUGCUGCAUGGUGGGGGUUGGAAAGUUUCGGCGGUUGGGGAUGGACUCGCGGCUUAUCAGCUUGUUGGUGGGGUAGUGGCUUACCAAGGCUUUGACGGGUAGCCGGCCUGAGAGGGUGACCGGCCACAUUGGGACUGAGAUACGGCCCAGACUCCUACGGGAGGCAGCAGUGGGGAAUAUUGCACAAUGGGCGGAAGCCUGAUGCAGCAACGCCGCGUGCGGGAUGACGGCCUUCGGGUUGUAAACCGCUUUCGCCUGUGACGAAGCGUGAGUGACGGUAAUGGGUAAAGAAGCACCGGCUAACUACGUG